rnacentral:rRNA from 1 species
AGACGUCUACAUUAGAUACCCGCGUAGUCCCAGCCGUAAACUAUGCGCGUUAGGUGUAUCGGUGACCACGAGUUACCGAGGUGCCGAAGGGAAACCGUGAAACGUGCCGCCUGGGAAGUACGGUCGCAAGGCUGGAACUUAAAGGAAUUGGCGGGGAGCACCACAACGGGUGGAGCCUGCGGUUUAAUUGGACUCAACGCCGGGAAGCUCACCGGAUAAGACAGCGGAAUGAUUGCCGGGCUGAAGACUCUGCAUGACUAGCUG